rnacentral:rRNA from 1 species
UACGUAGGGUGCGAGCGUUGUCCGGAAUUAUUGGGCGUAAAGGGCUCGUAGGCGGUCUGUUACGUCGGGAGUGAAAACUCGGGGCUUAACCCCGAGCCUGCUUCCGAUACGGGCAGACUAGAGGUAUGCAGGGGAGAAUGGAAUUCCUGGUGUAGCGGUGAAAUGCGCAGAUAUCAGGAGGAACACCGGUGGCGAAGGCGGUUCUCUGGGCAUUACCUGACGCUGAGGAGCGAAAGUGUGGGGAGCGAACAGG